UUCCUUUUGUGGUUCCUAAGCGUGAUGAUUGGGUUGACACACGGCUGUGUGACAUGUGCCUCCCUCCAACCUUGUUACGACAUUGUCACGUUACCCAUCCGACG